GUCCAUUCUCUAUGUCUGCGUCUUUAUUCCUGUCCUGCCCCUAGGUUCAGAAGCUAACACACCAUUGUAAAGCAAUUAUACUCCAACAAAGAUGUUAAAAAAAAAAAAACAACCCCACCUGCAUCAUGUUAGGGUUCAAGCUAUCAGAAAUAGAACCUCCCUCGCCCUCAGAUGGCUCUGUUCUGAUCGUAUGCCUGGCAAAGCUGUGAGUAAGCAUGGAGCCUGCUUGCAGGGGAAGAGUGUCUGCCUGGCGCAGCCGAUGAGUCACUGCUGCCUGCCCUGGCCCCCUGCCUGCGAGGUGGCCACUAUCUUUGGACGUUUUAAUUUUCCCUUGUGGGGAGGGGUAAUUAUGGCCUCCGUGCCCUGUGGCUGUUUCCAUUUUGCACAGCGCCUGGACAGAGGCAGAGAUCCUUCAAGAAAUCUUCCUCUUUUUUCUUUUUUCAGGGAAAUUGGUGGGGGCUGGUGGUGGGGAUUUGAGCCUGUCUGAGGUGUGCAGAAGCAAGGCUGAUACAAGUGCAGCAACCUUUCAGGAUCUGCAAGGUGCUUAACCAUGAGCCAUCAAUUACUGCCAGAUGUGGUUGUCAUGCAAAGUAGCUUAAUUGGCCUACUGGUUGGUUGAGUUUUAAACCCACGGAUUGUACCAAUGCAAGAGAGAGGAAAACAGAUUUGACAGAUGCAGGAUGGGGCUGUGUGGUUUAUAUGGACACAGAAGCAAAACAUCUGGGGACAGAAUGGGCCUUAAAUGGAAAAUGGUCAGGUGAUAGAUGACAGAUUGAGAGAUAGAUCAAUUGAUGGAUGGAUGGAUGGAUGGCUGGCUGUCAGCUGAGAGGGACCGAGGAGAAAUGCAGACAUCGGGAGUCUGGGGGUGUGAUACUUUUAUAACGCAACCAUGACCAUAUGGAAGAUGCGCCAGACAGAUGCUGGAUACUGAGAAGUCAACCCGGGAUUGAAGGUAAUGAUUCACUUAAAGAGUUACUCCACAUUGUAACCGAAGCGGAGUUGGCUGUAGACAUCAUCAGUUGAGUUGUGUCACCAGGGGAAAAUGUUUAUUCAUGGAGACUAGAGUUAGGUUUUGAGUGUGUGUUCAACAGAUUCCUGAGUUUGAACUGCCACCCCCAGGAAGCCCGGUAAACUUGGGUGAAUUAUUUAACUUCUUUGGAUCUCAGUUUCCUCAUCUACGAAUGAAUGCCUGUUUCGAGGAGAGUGUGGAAUGCGGUAAAGGGCAUGCCUGGCAUAUAGUUAGAACUUGGUCCAUGGUUGCGAUUAUACUUUCGUGUAUUGCUUUUCUCAACACACUUUAACUGUAAUUGAGCACAUACUUUGUGCCCAGCCCUCGCUAGGAACUAAGGAUACAGACUUGUUUGAUUCAUUUCACAAAUAUUUGCUGAGUACCUACGAUGUGCUUGGCAGACACUGCUAAGCCCUGGAAACUGACUUGGGUAGAAACGGUAAAGACCCCUGCCCACAAGGUGCCUCCAGACUGGGGACAAGACAGAUAUUCAAAUAAGGAAAAUACUUGGCACAGACAAGUCCCUGCUGAAUGCCAGAACUUCAAAGGGCUCCAGUGCAACGGGCUCCUCACAGGGACUACCAGCCCUUUCUGCAGAUGAGAAAACUGAAGCUCAGAAAGGUGAAGAGACCUUCCCAGGUUCCCACACCUACUGACUGGCAGAGCCUCAGCUGGAACACAGUCCAGCCUGACUCCAAAGUCCGCAAUCUUUCUCAACAGCACACAGCCGCCAGGGUGUGUUUCAAGUUUCUGGAUCAAGACAUCCAGCGAGGCAGGGUCGAGAAUAUGCACGGACACCGAGAGGUAUUCAGUUUUCAGAGGCUCCCAUUUGGGAAGGAUGUAAUCUGAGGGCUACAGAGGAGGGCUUUGAGAAGAGUAGGCUCCUACUGGCAGCAAGGGGAUGCUGGGUGCGUCUCCGUGUGUGGAUGUAUGUCUGCGACCGUCUGUGUGUGCCUCUAUUUCUGUGUGUGUAUGAACGUGUGCAUGUGCCUCUGUGUCUGUGUGUUUGCAUGAGGAGGGGAGGCAUGCAGGUAUGUGUGUAUGUGUACUUGUGUAUGUCUCUCUCUGUGCGACUCUAUAUCUCUGCAUGUGUCUGUAUUUAUGUGUGUCUCCGUGUGUGCGUGUGUAUCCAAGUGACUGUGUGUGUCUGAAUUGGGGGUGUGUGCAUAGAUGUGUGUCUGUGCCUAUGCAUUUGUGGGCAUCUAUCGAUUUGCAUGUGUGUCUUUGGAGAAGUGUGUGUGUGUUGGUGUCUGUGAGUGACUGUGCGUGUGUGCGUGCCUCUGUGGGUGUGUGUGGGGUGAGCUGCCCCCCUCCCCGUCCCCCAGGUGUUUCUGUGGAGCUAAUCUAACUUGUGCUUCAGAACCGGGGAAACGACAGCGUCGGUGCCUUUUGCCUUAUCUCCCAGGCUGCCGCUCUGCCAGAGGAAAUUAGAUUUGCUUGGCACAAUCUGCUCCUUAUGAGGUCAUGCUGCUGUGAUCUACACAUUCUGCUCUCCUAGGUAUUUGUCUUUUGAUUGCUUGAUGAAUACCUGUCAAUGUAGAGAUUGAAAGAACAUGAGUUUGGGUUUUUUUUUUUAAAUAAGAAACAUCCAGGGGUGGAACAGUAGCUGUCCAUCUUCUUUCUGGACUUGGGAGCCAUGAUAAAGGAGAUAGAGCUUUGGCUUUGGAAUGGUAAGAGCUCUCUUCAAGUUUCCAGUUGUGCCCUUCAAAAGCUGUGUGACCUUGGGGAGGACACUUUACCUCUCUGAGCCAGGGUUCUUUACCUGCUAUAUUCAGAAGGUUCUUUGGAGGAGCAAAUAUAAUAAUAGAUGAAAAUGCUCUCAGAAAUCCACAAAGUCCUUAAAUCCUAUGAUGUCGAAGCAGAGAGGCCGAGCGGGAAGACUCCGGGCUCGGAGGUCAGGCAGAUGUGUGUUUGGAUCCUGGCUCUAUUCUCUUCCUAACGUAUGACCUUCAGCAAGUUAUGAUGCCUCUCUGAGCCUCAGAUUGCUUCUCCGUUAAAUAGGCUAAUAUUUUGAAAGCACUUAGCUCACUGCUAGCCACCGUGAGGGCCCCCCAAACGAGAGCUGUUAAUAUUUUGGCUAGUGCAACAGGGGUGAUAGAAAUAUGAAUACCUGCCCACUUUCAAACUGUCAGUAAGUGGAGGCAAGACAUGGCCCCCGGAAGUGAGGGUGAAAUGGACGAUGUGAUAGAAGUGAUUUACUAUCAUUUGUUUUUACGACUUCAAGAUGCAGAGUGUUCUUGGCAUCACCAUAUUCCUGGCAAGCAAUUUGGAUAUCAUCUAGAACUCCGAGGCUAUUCUAGUUGCAGAAGGGAGCUGAGACUGAGGCAGCCUCCAGCCCAGAGUGGUCCAGGCCAACUGCCGGGGGCCAGCUUUCCCACAUGUCCAACCACAUCCCUUCUACGUGAUCCCUUCACUCCAGCAAGACCUCAAACCCCCUUGCCUUGGAUCAUGCUGUUCCCUCCCCUGGAAUACCCCUCACCACCACUCCAGCGCCAGAUCGUCUGGGCUGGGCUCUAGGUGCCUCUGCUCAGGCUAAGACAGAUGUCCCUGUUCUGUGUCCCUAGCCUACCCUGGAUUCACCCCAAUGUGCAUGAUGUCCAGGGCAUUUGAACGGUCUGCUCUGUGUCUGGCUCCCUCCCAGCCAGUGCCCUCCAGGAGGGCAGGGACGGGGAACCACAAAGCCCUCUGUGGACGCUUGCAGAGUGAACACAUGGAAAUCAGCUGUCUUCUUUCAUUUUCUGUCCCCACCUCCUUAGAUGCAGUGCCUUCAGAUAUCAAUCUGUUCAUCUGGACCCAUUUCUGACAAACAUUUUGCUCAAUAACAGAGACCCUGGAGAGCUUUGCUUUGUUGAUUUGGUUUGGUUGGGAAGCAGAUGGGUUUAUCUCUGCUGGACUGCGUGUCUUUAAUAAGAGUGCCGCGCAGGCCAGAGGACGAAAGAUUCCCAAGCAUUUGACCAGCUUUAUCCUAUGUUUUAGGGCUAGCAUGUGGGUUUGCCAUCAGGACCGUGGUUGUCCAUGUGGGCCUGUGACAUCAGCUUUGGAGAGUGGUUGGGGACCUAGGUUCUGGGAUUGGACUGCCUGGUUCCAAGCCUCAGAGUACUGAACCUCUUUGUACCUCAGUCUCCUUAUCUGUAAAAGGGGAUACGUCAUAGUACCUACCCACCUCACAGAGGUUUUGUCAGCAUUAAAGAAGGUCAUUCAGGUAAAGCCCAGUGUCUGUUGUAGAGUGAGUAUUCAAUGAAGGUGAGCUAGUAUUUCUGUUGCAUUGCAUUUAAUGGAAUUAUGAGCCCAGGACCUCCACUGUGACUGUAACAGAGAAUGAGCAUCUGCAGUGAGACAUCAGCCUCCAUCCUGCCAGAGCUGGGCUCCAGGGACUAGACGAUGGAAUGACUCUUCAAUUUCAAGUGAGUUUUUAUGAUCAGAAAAGUUUGCCGACCCCUGGUGUUAGAUUGAAGCAGGACUAAAGCUGACUGAGCUCAACCAGUACACUGGGUACCGUCCGAUCUCUCUCUCCCUCAGCCCUGACAUCUGGUUGAUCACCAAGACCGGAUUACUUUGCCCCACUCUAUCUCAUACAUUUGGUCUCCCAUCUCUUCCUCAAAUGCCACAGCCUUAGUUAAGCCCUGUCCCUGCCCCUCUUGACUAUCACACACGAGAGCCACCACUAGCCCAUAAGGUGUCUGGGUGAAUUAGAUAAGGAUAUCUUCUCUGGGUAGAUGCAACUCCACAGCGCAUCAUUGGGCAGCAGGAGUGCCUCUCUGCAGGAACCCCCCCCCACCUAACCCUAUCGAUUAUACCCAGUCAAGUAGGGCUCUUACACCUCUUGGUUCUAUUGAUUAUACUGUCUCCUUGCCUCCCUGUCCAGGCAGCCCUCCACACCAGAGCUAGAGUGAUCUUUCUAACCAACUAUGUUCCUCUCCUGCUCGACCACUCCAUGGCUCCCCCUGCCCUCAGGACAGAGCCCAUGAACAUGACAGUCAAGGCCUGCCGUGGUCUGGUCUCAGCUGGUCUCCCAGUCUCACGGCUCACCACCUACUCAGCCCACAUCACACCUGAGCACUGUCAUGCAAUCUGAGUCCCCCCAGACCUAGACUUCCACACUUGCUUAUACUUUUGGGAUUGGCACAGUCGUCCUUAGUGAAAUACUCUGCUCUUCCUCUCACCAUCUGGAACAUUUCUAGUCAUCCUUCAAAUCUACCACAGCAUCUUCUCCCUGUUUUUCCCUCCCUGAUUCUCCCAGGCAGACUUGGGCCCUCCUUCUAUAGUUCAAUUCAAUCUUCACAAACCAUGGUCCGCGGCCCAUAGAUGGGUCAGGAUAGCAGUGUAGGGGAUCUUGACAAGCACGUCUUGAAAGCUGAACUAGACUAGAAAACACAAAAGUACAUCGCUCUAUGUCAGGUGUGGUUAUAACACAGGAUGAAUAGCACAGGCUCUGGACCUGGACUGCCUGGGUUCAAAUCUAUCUCUACAGUUGAUUAGCAAUGACCUUGGGCAAGUGAUUUCAUCUUUCUGUACCUCAGUUCCCUCAUGUAGAAAACAAUGAUAAUGAUAACACUUCCUUUAUGGCCUCCAUGAAGAUUAAAUUAAUAUACUACUAAAUAUAUAUUUAUAUAUUAUGUAUAAAUAUAUAUAUUUAUGUAUUUACAAGCAUACCUUGGAGAUAUUGCAGGAUUGGUUCCAGAUCGACACAAUAAAGCAAAUAUUGCAAUAAAGCAAGUCACACAAAUUUUUUGGUAACCCAGCGCAUAUAAGUUAUGUUUAUACUAUACUGUAGUCUAUUAAGCGUGCAAUAGCAUUGUGUCUAAGAAAACAAUGUACAUACCUUAAUUAAAAAAAGAUGCUAUUAGAAAAGUGGCACUCGUAGACUUGCUUGACACAGGGUUGCCACAAACCUUCAAUUUGUAAAAAACACAGGAUCUGAGAAGUACAAUAAAGUGAAGCAAAGUAAAAGACCAUGUAUUAUCUGCUUAGAAAGAUCUCCGGGCACGUGGUGAGUGCUAUGAACAUGUUAGCUAGUGUGUGUGUGCACAUGUGCACGUGCGUGCACAUGUGUGACCGUGGUUUAUGAUGAGCGUUACCUGAAAUCCUGUGCUCUGGCUGGAAUCUAUUCUGAUCCUUAUUAAAGCAAUUAUUGGACUAU